rnacentral:rRNA from 1 species
UACAGAGGGGGCAAGCGUUGUUCGGAAUUACUGGGCGUAAAGGGCGCGUAGGCGGCCUGUUAAGUCGAACGUGAAAUCCCCGGGCUCAACCCGGGAAGUGCUUCUGAUACUGUUUAGCUUGAGUACUGGAGAGGAUAGUAGAAUUCCUGGUGUAGUGGUGAAAUACGUAGAUAUCAGGAGGAAUACCGGUGGCGAAGGCGGCUAUCUGGCCAUGUACUGACGCUGAGGCGCGACAGCGUGGGGAGCAAACAGG